ACGGAGGGUGCUAGCGUUGUUCGGAUUUACUGGGCGUAAAGGGCGCGUAGGCGGCCUGAUCAGUCGGGUGUGAAAGCCCGGGGCUCAACCCCGGAACGGCACCCGAGACGGUCAGGCUGGAGACCGGGAGAGGAGGGUGGAAUAGCCAGUGUAGAGGUGAAAUUCGUAGAUAUUGGCUGGAACACCGGUGGCGAAAGCGGCUCUCUGGCCCGGUUCUGACGCUGAGGCGCGAAAGCGUUGGGAGCAAACAG
rnacentral:rRNA from 1 species